GAUGAACGCUGGCGGCGUGCCUAAUACAUGCAAGUCGAGCGAACGGACGAGAAGCUUGCUUCUCUGAUGUUAGCGGCGGACGGGUGAGUAACACGUGGAGAACCUACCUAUAAGACUGGGAUAACUUCGGGAAACCGGAGCUAAUACCGGAUAAUAUUUUGAACCGCAUGGUUCAAAAGUGAAAGACGGUCUUGCUGUCACUUAUAGAUGGAUCCGCGCUGCAUUAGCUAGUUGGUAAGGUAACGGCUUACCAAGGCAACGAUGCAUAGCCGACCUGAGAGGGUGAUCGGCCACACUGGAACUGAGACACGGUCCAGACUCCUACGGGAGGCAGCAGUAGGGAAUCUUCCGCAAUGGGCGAAAGCCUGACGGAGCAACGCCGCGUGAGUGAUGAAGGUCUUCGGAUCGUAAAACUCUGUUAUUAGGGAAGAACAUAUGUGUAAGUAACUGUGCACAUCUUGACGGUACCUAAUCAGAAAGCCACGGCUAACUACGUG
rnacentral:rRNA from 1 species